UACAGAGGGGGCAAGCGUUGUCCGGAAUUAUUGGGCGUAAAGGGCUCGUAGGCGGUCUGUUGCGUCAGGAGUGAAAACUCGGGGCUUAACCCCGAGCCUGCUUCUGAUACGGGCAGACUAGAGGUAUGCAGGGGAGAACGGAAUUCCUGGUGUAGCGGUGAAAUGCGCAGAUAUCAGGAGGAACACCGGUGGCGAAGGCGGUUCUCUGGGCCUGUACUGACGCUGAGGAACGAAAGCGUGGGGAGCGAACAGG
rnacentral:rRNA from 1 species